GGGCUCAUAGCUCAGUUGGAAGAGCGCUGCCCUCGCACGGCAGAGGUCUCGGGUUCAAAUCCCGAUGAGUCCACCA
rnacentral:tRNA from 1 species